GACGAACGCUGGCGGCGUGCUUAACACAUGCAAGUCGAGCGGUAAGGCCUUUCGGGGUACACGAGCGGCGAACGGGUGAGUAACACGUGGGUGAUCUGCCCUGCACUUCGGGAUAAGCCUGGGAAACUGGGUCUAAUACCGGAUAUGACCUCCUAUCGCAUGGUGGGUGGUGGAAAGAUUUAUCGGUGCAGGAUGGGCCCGCGGCCUAUCAGCUUGUUGGUGGGGUAAUGGCCUACCAAGGCGACGACGGGUAGCCGACCUGAGAGGGUGACCGGCCACACUGGGACUGAGACACGGCCCAGACUCCUACGGGAGGCAGCAGUGGGGAAUAUUGCACAAUGGGCGAAAGCCUGAUGCAGCGACGCCGCGUGAGGGAUGACGGCCUUCGGGUUGUAAACCUCUUUCAGCAGGGACGAAGCGCAAGUGACGGUACCUGCAGAAGAAGCACCGGCUAACUACGUG
rnacentral:rRNA from 2 species